UACGUAGGGGGCAAGCGUUGUCCGGAAUCAUUGGGCGUAAAGAGCGUGUAGGCGGCCCGAUAAGUCCGCUGUGAAAGUCCAGGGCUCAACCCUGGGAUGCCGGUGGAUACUGUCGGGCUCGAGUCUGGAAGAGGAGUGUGGAAUUCCUGGUGUAGCGGUGAAAUGCGCAGAUAUCAGGAGGAACACCAAUGGCGAAGGCAGCACUCUGGGACGUGACUGACGCUGAGACGCGAAAGCGCGGGGAGCAAACAGG
rnacentral:rRNA from 1 species